rnacentral:rRNA from 1 species
CCAGACUCCUACGGGAGGCAGCAGUGAGGAAUAUUGGUCAAUGGGCGUGAGCCUGAACCAGCCAAGUAGCGUGCAGGAUUGACGGCCCUAUGGGUUGUAAACUGCUUUUGUUGGGGAGUAAAGUGAGGCACGCGUGCCUUUUUGCAUUUACCCUUCGAAUAAGGACCGGCUAAUUCCGUGCCAGCAGCCGCGGUAAUACGGAAGGUCCAGGCGUUAUCCGGAUUUAUUGGGUUUAAAGGGAGUGUAGGCGGUCUGUUAAGCGUGUUGUGAAAUUUAGGUGCUCAACAUCUACCUUGCAGCGCGAACUGGCGGACUUGAGUGCACGCAACGUAUGCGGAAUUCAUGGUGUAGCGGUGAAAUGCUUAGAUAUCAUGACGAACUCCGAUUGCGAAGGCAGCGUACGGGAGUGUUACUGACGCUUAAGCUCGAAGGUGCGGGUAUCGAACAGGAUUAGAUACCCUGGUAGUCCGCACGGUAAACGAUGGAUGCCCGCUGUUAGCGCCUGGCGUUAGCGGCUAAGCGAAAGCAUUAAGCAUCCCACCUGGGGAGUACGCCGGCAACGGUGAAACUCAAAGGAAUUGACGGGGGCCCGCACAAG